AGCAGCAUGGUAUAGUGGUUUGAACGCUGAACUAUGACUCUGGAAACCAGGGUUUGAUUUCCUGCUCAGCUA